AAAACGGCUCUUUUCAGAGCCACCCGAUAUUAAAAUGAGAUCAUUUU
rfam:Ciona intestinalis ciona0585, whole genome shotgun sequence.